ACCAGCAGCUAAAUCACCCUGCAACUCACAACUGGCAACUCACUGAAGCUAAGCAGGUAUGAACCUGGUCAGUACCUGUAUGGGAGACCUCCUGGGAAAAACUAAGGUUGCAGCUA
rnacentral:rRNA from 1 species